UACGUAGGGUCCGAGCGUUGUCCGGAAUUACUGGGCGUAAAGAGCUCGUAGGUGGUUUGUCGCGUUGUUCGUGAAAACUCACAGCUCAACUGUGGGCGUGCGGGCGAUACGGGCAGACUUGAGUACUGCAGGGGAGACUGGAAUUCCUGGUGUAGCGGUGGAAUGCGCAGAUAUCAGGAGGAACACCGGUGGCGAAGGCGGGUCUCUGGGCAACAACUGGCGCUGAGGAGCGAAAGCGUGGGGAGCGAACAGG
rnacentral:rRNA from 1 species